UUGGAGGGCAAGUCUGGUGCCAGCAGCCGCGGUAAUUCCAGCUCCAAUAGCGUAUAUUAAAGUUGUUGCAGUUAAAAAGCUCGUAGUUGAAUUUCGGGGUUAGUAGGUUGGUCAUGCCUCCGGUAUGUACUGGUCUCACUGAUUCCUCCUUCCUGAUGAACCGUAAUGCCAUUAAUUUGGUGUUGCGGGGAAUUUGGACUGUUACUUUGAAAAAAUUAGAGUGUUUAAAGCAAGCUAACGCUUGAAUACAUUAGCAUGGAAUAAUGAAAUAGGACGUUCGAUCCUAUUUUGUUGGUUUCUAGGAUUGACGUAAUGAUUAAUAGGGAUAGUUGGGGGCAUUAGUAUUCAAUUGUCAGAGGUGAAAUUCUUGGAUUUAUUGAAGACUAACUACUGCGAAAGCAUUUGCCAAGGAUGUUUUCAUUAAUCAAGAACGAAAGUUAGGGGAUCGAAGACGAUCAGAUACCGUCGUAGUCUUAACCAUAAACUAUGCCGACUAGGGAUCGGAUGAUGUUAAUUUUAUAAUGACUCAUUCGGCGCCUUACGGGAAAC
rnacentral:rRNA from 1 species